rnacentral:rRNA from 1 species
ACUCAAAUGAAUUGACGGGGACCCGCACAAGCAGAGGAGGAUGUGGUUUAAUAUGACGCUACGCGUAGAACCUUACCGAGGCUUGACAUCUUAGGAAUCCGCUGGAAACAGUGGAGUGCCUUUUGGAGCCUAAUGACAGGUGCUGCAUGGCCGUCGUCAGCUCGUGUCGUGAGAUGUUGGGUUAAGUCCCGCAACGAGCGCAACCCUUCUCGUAUGUUGUAUUUUUCAUGCGAGACUGCCCGGGCCAACCGGGAGGAAGGUGGGGAUGAAGUCAGGUCGGCAUGGCCCUUACGCCUCGGGCCACACACGUCCUACAAUGGCCGGUACAACGCGCCGCGAAACCGCGAGGUGGAGCUAAUCGCAUCAAAACCGGUCUCAGUUCGGAUUGCAGGCUGCAACUCGCCUGCAUGAAGUCGGAUUUGCUAGUAAACGUGGGUCAGCAUACCGCGUUGAAUACGUUCCCGGGUCUUGUACACACCGCCCGU